UUCCGGUUGAUCCUGCCGGACCUGACUGCUAUCGGAUUGAUACUAAGCCAUGCGAGUCAUUGUAGCAAUACAAGGCAUACGGCUCAGUAACGCGUAGUCAACCUACCCUAUGGACGGAAAUAACCUCGGGAAACUGAGAAUAAUAUCCGAUAGAACAUUAUGCCUGGAAUGGUUUAUGUUCCAAAUGAUUUAUCGCCGUAGGAUGGGACUGCGGCCUAUCAGUUUGUUGGUGAGGUAAUGGCCCACCAAGACUAUUACAGGUACGGGCUCUGAGAGGAGUAGCCUGGUGAUGGGUACUGAGACACGGACCCAGGCCCUAUGGGGCGCAGCAGGCGAGAAAACUUUGCAAUGUGCGAAAGCACGACAAGGUUAAUCCGAGUGAUUUCUGCUAAAGAAAUCUUUUGUUAGUCCUAGAAACACUAACGAAUAAGGGGUGGGCAAGUUCUGGUGUCAGCCGCCGCGGUAAAACCAGCACCUCAAGUGGUCAGGAUGAUUAUUGGGCCUAAAGCAUCCGUAGCCGGCUCUGUAAGUCCUCGGUUAAAUCUGUACGCUUAACGUACAGGCUGCCGGGAAUACUGCAUAGCUAGGGAGUGGGAGAGGUAGACGGUACUCGGUAGGAAGGGGUAAAAUCCUUUGAUCUAUUGAUGACCACCUGUGGCGAAGGCGGUCUACCAGAACACGUCCGACGGUGAGGGAUGAAAGCUGGGGGAGCAAACCGGAUUAGAUACCCGGGUAGUCCCAGCUGUAAACUAUGCAAACUCAGUGAUGCAUUGGCUUGUGGCCAAUGCAGUGCUGCAGGGAAGCCGUUAAGUUUGCCGCCUGGGAAGUACGUACGCAAGUAUGAAACUUAAAGGAAUUGGCGGGGGAGCACCACAA
rnacentral:rRNA from 2 species